AAUUGUUAUAGAUAUUCUUCCCCGUGGUUAUUUCCUUUCUAGAUCUGUCAGGUGAGAAUGGAAGGAGGAUAAGGGAGUUUUUUUCUCUCUUAAACUGCUAAUCCAUCAACAUUAUUUUUUACUUAUAUUAUAUAGAUGUAAUCAAGAUUAAGUUUGACAAUAUUGUAUCAUCUGAUACUCCAUUUGUCUAUUGUUAUUGCUUACUAUGGUGUUUUGAGGUUUGUUAUGGAAAAUAGAGCAAAAGGAUAUGAGUUUAUUGUUAGUGGAAUGCUUAGAGAACAACAUCCCAAGUUAAUGGAGUUUAGGUAAAGGUACAUGGUGUCAUCCGGUGAACCUGUCAAGGAUUAUAUUGACUCUGUUGUGAGAUAUAUGCCUCUUAAACAUGUAAACUCAUUUUGUUA